UUUUAAGGUGGCACUUCUGCCUGAGAUGGCACAGAAAGAUGUUUAUCAGACAGCGACUUCAGAUGUCUGACAUCUACAGUUCUACAAAGCACGAGUUGGUAUUUCUUUGCAAAAACAAAUCUGACAAACGCAAGUACGUUCCAUACAGGUAAAGAAGCAAAUUCUACAAAAACAUUUAUUCCUCAUAUUCAAAAGUGGACUGCUGACUGAAAUUUGUAAGAAUGGAAUCUCUUAACACACUUUUGAUUGCAUUGUAUCUACAGAAUACUGUUUGCUGUUUCUCCCAUAGACAAGAAAAGCAUGAAAUGAAAUCGGUACAACUACAACAUCAUGUCUUCUUUUGAAACAAAACAGAAAAGCAAACACAAGCGUAAUGGCUUCUAAGCUCUCUACCCUUGGGCUAUUCGUCCUGG
rnacentral:lncRNA from 1 species